ensembl:lncRNA
AUGAAUUCAACUGGCUCAUAUUUCUCAGUUCUUUCCUAUUCUCCAACUCUGAACAGUCUCAUCUUGUGUGUGUGUGUGUGUGUGUGUGUGUGUGUGUGUGUCUCACUCUGGCUCUUCCUGUCUAUCUUUUUCUGGCUUUCUGUAUGUCUCAUUAUACCUCUGUGUCUCUGUCUUUGUCUCUUUCUCUCCUCCACCAUUGCCCUUCCUCCCAUCUCCCUCUCUCUCUCCCUUUCUCUCUCUCUCUCUCUCUCCCUUUCUCUCCCCCCCUCUCUCUUUCCCUUUCUCUCUCUUUCUCUCUCUUUUCUCUCUCUGUCUCUGUCUCUCUCUGUCUCUGUCUCUCUCUGUCUCUCUCUGUCUGUCUGUCUCUCUCUCUCUCUCUCACUGUCACACUCUUUGUGUCUCAUCUCUCAUGCCCAGCCCCUCUCUCCCACCCCAAUCCAUCAAAGGAUAAGUCCUUUCUCUAACUGCCAAAUAUGCUGAACCUAAAGCUCUCCGAUUCUCUUCCUUUAACUAAAGGAAGACAAUGAGUCAGCCUUUCUCCUGCAUGGAGGGUUUCUUCUAGCAAAACAAACUUUGCCAGCCAUUUUGGAUCUGUUCUGCUAUUCAAGUCCAGAAACACUUGGAAACAGAAACCCUCAGUACAAAUUAAAAUCAGAAGGUAAAUAGGCAGCACUUCUGCUGCUUGGGGUUUCUUUGCAGAUAAACAGAAAUGCUCUGAUUAGAAAGGAAAUGAAUGGUUUCACUCAAGCAACCUGUAAUUUAGAAUUGAGGAUUUCUGUCUUGAAAUACCUGUUUUCUUGGGACAUUCCGUCCUGUUUUUUCCAUACCUGAAAGUUUGACAGUGUCAGUUAAUGUAAUUCAUUUUUGCUCUCACAAAUGUAUGUAUACAUGAUGUAUGUAUACUCACACACAAACACACACACAGAGCUGAGCAAAAUACCCAUUUGUUUAUGAGUUGUUCAUUCAUCUGGGUCAGUAUUGAUGAGUCUGACUACUUGGCAUUUUUCUCCUUCCUGAAGAAGAGUUGCAUUGACAGAAUUAAUUGUAUUUAUGUAUGUAAAUAGAUUUUAAGCUUCAUUGCAAAAUAUUUUUAGUGCCUGUAAUAACUGUUCCCCCCUUUUUGUGUUUUUAAGGAACUUAUCCUUAUUUUGCUAAAUACUGUAGAGAAACCUAUUUUUUUCUAGUUUUUCUGGUUAUUUUAGACUUUAAAAAUGAAAUAUUUUUAUUCCAUUUUGUCAACAAUUAAGAGCAUGGUUCCUAUCAAAAACUGUUCACUCUUUGUUGUAGAGGAAAUGAAUGUGCAGAACAACUGUGGGUUAUUUGUGGUAUUCCAGACGGACAAAAACAAAUUAAUGUAAGAAAUCAGCUUCCUCAUAUGAAGUGUCAGAGUAAAUUCAUGUAUUGGGGGUAAAAAUAGCAAGAGGAAAGCAGCCCCCUUCAAGCAAUUCCCCCUCUCCCUCCCCAUCCUCUGCCAAAAAAAAGGAUCUCUUGGUUUAGUAUGUUGGGGGUAUGUUUAAGAAGUGCACUGGAUCACCCCUCUGGGGAAUGCCCUCUUUCUCCCCUCCUCCAGCCCCUUCCCAUCCCCAGACUGAUGCACUGGACAUUCAUUCUGUGAAGGGGAUUGUCCAGGCCUGGCAUUCGGAACUAGAUAAGACAAGAAAGCCUCCGAAUAACUCCCUCCUCGCCCACGUGUUGCUUGAUACCACAAAAGAGUAAGCAUAGAACUGUCCAGUCGGCGAAGGGCAGCACCCAGUGCAGCGCCACAGAAUUCCUGUCUGGCACGCAGGGCAGCUGGACCGCAGUGGUGGUUCUCGUGGAGACUUGGUUCUUUGUACCACACUUUCUUCUGUAAUUUCAAUAUUAUAACCAGUGUGAAUGGCAAAUAAACAGUUUGACAAGGACA